UACGUAGGGGGCAAGCGUUGUCCGGAAUUAUUGGGCGUAAAGAGCGUGUAGGCGGCCAGGUAAGUCCGCUGUGAAAGUCCAGGGCUCAACCCUGGAAAGCCGGUGGAUACUGCCGGGCUAGAGUCCGGGAGAGGCGAGUGGAAUUCCUGGUGUAGCGGUGGAAUGCGCAGAUAUCAGGAGGAACACCUAAGGCGAAGGCAGCUCGCUGGAACGGUACUGACGCUGAGACGCGAAAGCGUGGGGAGCAAACAGG
rnacentral:rRNA from 1 species